UACGGGGGGGGCAAGCGUUGUUCGGAAUUACUGGGCGUAAAGGGUUUGUAGGUGGCUUGCUAAGUCAGACGUGAAAUCCCUCAGCUUAACUGGGGAACUGCGUCUGAUACUGGCGAGCUUGAGUGCAGGAGAGGAACGCGGAAUUCCAGGUGUAGCGGUGAAAUGCGUAGAUAUCUGGAGGAACACCUGUGGCGAAAGCGGCGCACUGGACCACAACUGACGCUGAGGCGCGAAAGCUAGGGGAGCAAACAGG
rnacentral:rRNA from 1 species